rnacentral:rRNA from 1 species
UGGGGAAUAUUGCACAAUGGGCGAAAGCCUGAUGCAGCGACGCCGCGUGAGGGAUGGAGGCCUUCGGGUUGUAAACCUCUUUCGGCAGGGAAGAAGCGUUAAGUGACGGUACCUGCAGAAGAAGCGCCGGCUAACUACGUGCCAGCAGCCGCGGUAAUACGUAGGGCGCAAGCGUUGUCCGGAAUUAUUGGGCGUAAAGAGCUCGUAGGUGGUUUGUCGCGUCUGGUGUGAAAUCCCGGGGCUUAACUUCGGGCGUGCAUCGGGUACGGGCAGGCUAGAGUGCGGUAGGGGAGACUGGAAUUCCUGGUGUAGCGGUGGAAUGCGCAGAUAUCAGGAGGAACACCGAUGGCGAAGGCAGGUCUCUGGGCCGCAACUGACGCUGAGGAGCGAAAGCAUGGGGAGCGAACA